rnacentral:rRNA from 1 species
GCGAACGGCUCAUUAUAACAGCUAUAAUUUACUUGAUCUUGACAACCUACUUGGAUAACUGUGGUAAUUCUAGAGCUAAUACAUGCACCAAAGCUCCGACCUCGCGGGAGGAGCGCAUUUAUUAGAACAAAACCAAGCGGCUUCGGCCGUCCAGUGUUGACUCAGAAUAACUAAGCUGAUCGCAUGGUCUUGCACCGGCGACGUGUCUUUCAAGUAUCUGCCUUAUCAACUUUCGAUGGUAGUGUAUCUGACUACCAUGGUGGUGACGGGUAACGGAGGAUAAGGGUUCGACUCCGGAGAAGGGGCCUGAGAAAUGGCCACUACGUCUAAGGAUGGCAGCAGGCGCGCAAAUUACCCACUCUCAGAACGAGGAGGUAGUGACGAGAAAUAACGAGACCGUUCUCAUACGAGGCCGGUCAUCGGAAUGGGUACAAUUUAAACCCUUUAACGAGUAUCUAUGAGAGGGCAAGUCUGGUGCCAGCAGCCGCGGUAAUUCCAGCUCUCAAAAUGCAUAGAAUUAUUGCUGCGGUUAAAAAGCUCGUAGUUGGAUCUGUGCUGGCGUCCCGGUCCACCUUCGGGUGCGCACUGGUGAUGUUGGCUUUUCUGCUGGUCGUACGGCUCAGUGGGCUUCAACACUCGCUGUGUCGGGCUGGCGCGUUUACUUUGAACAAAUCAGAGUGCUUCAAACAGGCGUUUCGCUUGAAUGUUCGUGCAUGGAAUAAUAGAAGAGGAUUUCGGUUCUAUUUUAUUGGUUUUAUAGACUGAGAUAAUGGUUAACAGAGACAAACGGGGGCAUUUGUAUUGCUACGUGAGAGGUGAAAUUCUUGGACCGUAGCAAGACAAACUACAGCGAAAGCAU